CCUCUGUCUACUCAAUUAACAUAAACUCAAUUUAUUUUAAAAUGAAUGUAAUGGAUGUAACACAUCUAAUACUAAGUUUCAACAACGGAUCUCUUGGCUCUCGCAUCGAUGAAGAACGCAGCGAAAUGCGAUAAGUAAUGUGAAUUGCAGAAUUCAGUGAAUCAUCGAAUCUUUGAACGCACCUUGCGCUCCUUGGUAUUCCUUGGAGCAUGCCUGUUUGAGUAUCAUGAAAUCUUCAAAGUAAAUCUUUUGUUAAUUCAUUUGAUUUCACUUUGGUAUUGGAGGUCUUGCAGCUUCACACCUGCUCCUCUUUGUGCAUUAGCUGGAUCUCAGUGUUAUGCUUGGUUCCACUCGGCGUGAUAAAUUAUCUAUCGCUGAGGACACUGUAAAAGGUGGCCAAGGUAAAUGCAGAUGAACCGCUUCUAAUAGUCCAUUGACUUGGACAAUAUAUUUAUGAUCUGAUCUCAAAUCAGGUAGGACUACCCGCUGAACUUAA
rnacentral:rRNA from 1 species